GGCCAUAAGGGUUAGUAUUACCCUUAUGGCAAACAUGUAGCAUGUAGCA
rnacentral:ncRNA from 1 species